rnacentral:ribozyme from 15 species
AUGAAAAAAAAAAAAAAAAAAAAAAAGUUAGAUCCUUUAUUC